ACAUAACAAUGACUCUCGGCAACGGAUAUCUCGGCUCUUGCAUCGAUGAAGAACGUAGCGAAAUGCGAUACUUGGUGUGAAUUGCAGAAUCCCGUGAACCAUCGAGUCUUUGAACGCAAGUUGCGCCCGAAGCCAUUAGGCCGAGGGCACGCCUGCCUGGGUGUCACAC
rnacentral:rRNA from 1 species